CGGACGGGUGAGUAACGCGUGGAGAACCUGCCGUAUACUGGGGGAUAACACUUAGAAAUAGGUGCUAAUACCGCAUAAGCGCACAGCUUCGCAUGAAGCAGUGUGAAAAACUCCGGUGGUAUACGAUGGAUCCGCGUCUGAUUAGCUUGUUGGCGGGGUAAAGGCCCACCAAGGCGACGAUCAGUAGCCGGCCUGAGAGGGUGAACGGCCGCAUUGGGACUGAGACACGGCCCAAACUCCUACGGAAGGCAGCAG
rnacentral:rRNA from 1 species